AGUGAACGCUGGCGGUAGGCCUAACACACGCAAGUCGAACGGCAGCACAGUAAGAGCUUGCUCUUACGGGUGGCGAGUGGCGGACGGGUGAGGAAUACAUCGGAAUCUACUUUUUCGUGGGGGAUAACGUAGGGAAACUUACGCUAAUACCGCAUACGACCUACGGGUGAAAGCAGGGGAUCUUCGGACCUUGCGCGAUUGAAUGAGCCGAUGUCGGAUUAGCUAGUUGGCGGGGUAAAGGCCCACCAAGGCGACGAUCCGUAGCUGGUCUGAGAGGAUGAUCAGCCGCACUGGAACUGAGACACGGUCCAGACUCCUACGGGAGGCAGCAGUGGGGAAUAUUGGACAAUGGGCGCAAGCCUGAUCCAGCCAUACCGCGUGGGUGAAGAAGGCCUUCGGGUUGUAAAGCCCUUUUGUUGGGAAAGAAAAGCAGCAGGUUAAUACCCCGCUGUUCUGACGGUACCCAAAGAAUAAGCACCGGCUAACUUCGUG
rnacentral:rRNA from 1 species